GGGAAGGGAAGAAACUGCGGCUUCGGCCGGCUUCCC
rnacentral:misc_RNA from 1 species